rnacentral:lncRNA from 1 species
ACCAAAGAGGAGAAUAUCCUUCCAGUAAGUUUUGACAUAUCUAGAAAAGAAUAGGAUUCUCUCAUGUUAGAAUCGAAUUUGUUAGACAUAGUUCGAUCCAUGAUGGGAUUUUAAAAAUCUGCCAGUCUCCUUUUAAGAUUAUGCUCUUGAGACUACUUGUUAUGUUUUGAACUAGAUUCUGAAUUAAUCAGUCGCAAUGACUCCAUAUGAGAUAUGGACUAGACAUAAG